UACGUAGGUGGCGAGCGUUAUCCGGAAUGAUUGGGCGUAAAGGGUGCGUAGGCGGACUGUUAAGUCAGCGGUAAAAGCCCGGGGCUCAACCCCGGCGAGCCGUUGAAACUGGCUGUCUUGAGAUGUCGAGAGGUAUGCGGAAUGCGCAGUGUAGCGGUGAAAUGCAUAGAUAUCGCGCAGAACCCCGAUUGCGAAGGCAGCGUGCCGUGCCGCCACUGACGCUGAGGCACGAAAGCGCGGGGAUCGAACAGG
rnacentral:rRNA from 1 species